GGUGAGUAACACGUGGAUAACCUACCUAUAAGACUGGGAUAACUUCGGGAAACCGGAGCUAAUACCGGAUAAUAUAUUGAACCGCAUGGUUCAAUAGUGAAAGACGGUUUUGCUGUCACUUAUAGAUGGAUCCGCGCCGCAUUAGCUAGUUGGUAAGGUAACUGCUUACCAAGGCAACGAUGCGUAGCCGACCUGAGAGGGUGAUCGGCCACACUGGAACUGAGACACGGUCCAG
rnacentral:rRNA from 1 species